rnacentral:rRNA from 1 species
AUUGAACGCUGGCGGAAUGCUUUACACAUGCAAGUCGAACGGCAGCACGGGGGCAACCCUGGUGGCGAGUGGCGAACGGGUGAGUAAUACAUCGGAACGUGCCCAGUCGUGGGGGAUAACGUAGCGAAAGUUACGCUAAUACCGCAUACGAUCUACGGAUGAAAGCGGGGGACCGUAAGGCCUCGCGCGAUUGGAGCGGCCGAUGUCAGAUUAGGUAGUUGGUGAGGUAAAGGCUCACCAAGCCGACGAUCUGUAGCUGGUCUGAGAGGACGACCAGCCACACUGGGACUGAGACACGGCCCAGACUCCCACGGGAGGCAGCAGUGGGGAAUUUUGGACAAUGGGCGCAAGCCUGAUCCAGCCAUUCCGCGUGCAGGACGAAGGCCUUCGGGUUGUAAACUGCUUUUGUACGGAACGAAAAGGCUCUGGUUAAUACCUGGGGCUCAUGACAGUACCGUAAGAAUAAGCACCGGCUAACUACGUGCCAGCAGCCGCCGUAA